GAAAUCAGCUAGGGGUGCCUGCAAUUUCCAGGCUGAGACAGUCCCUUAGAACCUGAGACUGGGUAAUACCAGCGGAGGGAAGCUGUAAAUAGAGGUA
rnacentral:ncRNA from 2 species